UCCNCUAAAGUUAUUGCCAAGACAUUUCUCC
rnacentral:piRNA from 1 species